CCAGACUCCUACGGGAGGCAGCAGUGAGGAAUAUUGGUCAAUGGGCGCGAGCCUGGACCAGCCAAGUCGCGUGAGGGAAGACGGUCCUAUGGAUUGUAAACCUCUUUUGUCGGGGAGCAAAAGACGCCACGCGUGGCGUUCCGAGAGUACCCGAAGAAAAAGCAUCGGCUAACUCCGUGCCAGCAGCCGCGGUAAUACGGAGGAUGCGAGCGUUAUCCGGAUUUAUUGGGUUUAAAGGGUGCGCAGGCGGAGGUGGGAGUGGUUGGUAAAAUGGCGGGGCUAGCCCCCGGCCCGCCGUUGAAACUGGCAGUCUCGAGUUGGAGAGAAGUAUGCGGAAUGCGCGGUGUAGCGGUGAAAUGCAUAGAUAUCGCGCAGAACUCCGAUUGCGAAGGCAGCAUGCCGGCUCCACACUGACGCUGAGGCACGAAAGCGUGGGUAUCGAACAGGAUUAGAUACCCCUGUAA
rnacentral:rRNA from 1 species